ensembl:lncRNA
GGGAAAGCGUGACUUGGCCUGUAAGCAGAGUUUGAAUGCGUGCGUGCCAUCUGCAUACGCUCUGUACUCUUCUCAGUACACCUUCAGCCAGCUUAAUCUGGCAAGUCUGUAGAGCUCCAGACUUGCCAACCUAAGCUGGUGAGUCUGUAGAGAGAGCUCCAGACUCACUCUGCCUUUUUACCCUUUUCUUCAAAUCCCUCCUUAACUUUUGCCUGGCAACAGGGCAAUUUUUCACACACAACAUGGCUUCAAUCUCUCAACAAAUGCUCCCAACUCACUCAAUUUCCGCUCCAUCCACACAAUUUACACAUCAAAACAUAGCGAUUUUCCUCACUGUCAUUAGUUAGUUUUCCUUAGUAGACAGUUUUCCAGUUACACAAGGUUUUGUAACAGCAAGAAACGGCGGUUUUAACUUCUCAUUGUACACUACAAAUUUAAGCUUUGUUCAUAGAGCUGGCAGUAGCCCACGUUUAGCUCAGCGAGUAGAGAAGGCUUAGCGGUCCUGGUUCAAAACCUCCCAGCAGCAGUAUGUUUUGAGCACACACCUCAGCUUUUUUGCCUCUUUUCAGCAGACCAUUUGCAGCUACACCAGUCACUACUUUACAUCCUUUCUUUUUUUGGUGGAUAUACCAGUGCUUACAGCUACAUCCACCCCGGGAAAUGUGUGGUGAGGGAGAACAUCAGGACCAAGCUGGGUUUCCUUGGUCCAGAGGUUUGGAGAAAGUUCUUCCCUUUCUUUCAUCACAGCUGUCCUGUGCCAGAUGUUCUGUUGACCCACUGAGAGAGGCAUAAUUGGAGAAACAUCAGGAAGACUGAAGCUGAUCGCAGGAAUCAAGGAGGACCUCGAGAUCUUCACCACCAGCUCCCUCACAAGGAAAUCUUCCGAAGUCCACUGUAGGCACGGCCCAGAAGAUGGAUAAACCCAGCAUUUCGUGAACACACUGGAACUAAUCUAUCUUCAUAACAGUGAGUUUUAUCAACAGAUCAUAUGUUCUUGUUACAUAGUCUCACG